rnacentral:lncRNA from 1 species
CUUCCACAUUUUAAAGUCCAACACCCAUGGGGACAGAAAGAGUGGUGCCAGCAGCAUUCCAGCAGCCCAAUGGGAUUCCAAAAGGAGAUUGCAGAAAGAGUAUCAUUCCCUCUGAUACAGUGUUGACGGUGGAUCUAAAUCUAGACCCUAUUGGAGGUGGUGCUGGAAAUGUCACUGGAAGGAGCACUGCCAAGUUAGAAGAUGCCUGCCUAUGACUCCACAUGCAGUUAGGCGCAGGUGUCUUCAUCUGGCUGCUGGCAGUUUCUGUGCCAUGAGAAGUUUCUGUGAAAAAAAAAAUUGAUAAAGUUUCUUUCGAAAUAUGGAUUUUAAGUUUCCAAUACAUUUCAAGCCAAAAGUAUCUGACACGGUAGAACCUCCUGGCCUUUGACACACUUUCUUCAUGUGGCUUCUAGGACACCAGACUCUGCUGGUUUUCUUCCUACCUCACUGGUCACUUCCUCUUGGUGCCUUUUGCUCAUUAGAAUGCCCCAUGACUCAUUCCCAGGGUCACUUCUCUUUCCUACCUGCACUCCGUCAAGAUCCCACUCACACUCACCGUUCUGAACACCGUCUACGCUGCUGACUCCCAAUUUUGCACCUCCAGCUGUACUCCAGACCCAUGUGGCCAUCAGCCUCCCUGACAAUUUCAUUUGGCUGUCCACGGUCAUUGCAAAUUCACCACAGCAAAACUCAACUUCUAGCCCACCUCCAAACUUGCGUUAUCUCAGUUCAUCAAAACUCAAGCUUCCAGUUGUGAGAAAAAAAACAGUGACAUAAGGAUGUCAGCUUUGACAUCUCACACAUUUCACUGCUGAUCCAGCAGGACAUCCGUGCCCUCUGCCUUCAAAGUAUAUCCAUAUUUUGGCCACUUCUCAAUACUUCCACCGUCACAGUUCCCUGAACUGGCAUUGUCUCAUGCCUGCAUUAUUGAAAUAACAUCCUCUGUGGUCUCCC